UGGGGAAUAUUGCACAAUGGGCGCAAGCCUGAUGCAGCAACGCCGCGUGAGGGAUGACGGCCUUCGGGUUGUAAACCUCUUUUAGUAGGGAAGAAGCGAAAGUGACGGUACCUGCAGAAAAAGCACCGGCUAACUACGUGCCAGCAGCCGCGGUAAUACGUAGGGUGCGAGCGUUGUCCGGAAUUAUUGGGCGUAAAGAGCUCGUAGGCGGUCUGUCGCGUCUGCUGUGAAAACCCGAGGCUCAACCUCGGGCCUGCAGUGGGUACGGGCAGACUAGAGUGCGGUAGGGGAGAAUGGAAUUCCUGGUGUAGCGGUGGAAUGCGCAGAUAUCAGGAGGAACACCGAUGGCGAAGGCAGUUCUCUGGGCCGUAACUGACGCUGAGGAGCGAAAGCGUGGGGAGCGAACAGGAUUAGAUACCCUGGUAGUCCACGCCGUAAACGUUGGGCGCUAGAUGUGGGGACCAUUCCACGGUUUCCGUGUCGCAGCUAACGCAUUAAGCGCCCCGCCUGGGGAGUACGGCCGCAAGGCUAAAACUCAAAGGAAUUGACGGGGUCAUAGCUGUUCCU
rnacentral:rRNA from 1 species